CACGUAGGGCGCAAGCGUUGUCCGGAAUUAUUGGGCGUAAAGAGCUCGUAGGCGGUCUGUUGCGUCCGCUGUGAAAACUCGGGGCUUAACCCCCGAGCCUGCAGUGGAUACGGGCAGACUAGAGGUAGGUAGGGGAGAAUGGAAUUCCCGGUGUAGCGGUGAAAUGCGCAGAUAUCAGGAGGAACACCUAUUGCGAAGGCAGCUCGCUGGGACGUUACUGACGCUGAGACGCGAAAGCAUGGGGGAGCGAACAGG
rnacentral:rRNA from 1 species